GCAAGUAAAAGUCGUAACAAGGUUUCCGUAGGUGAACCUGCGGAAGGAUCAUUAUUGUAUAACCGAGGUGCGAGGGCUGUCGCUGACCCCAAAGGUCGUGCACGCCCGAGUGCCCUCACACACAUCCAUCUCACCCCUAUGUGCACCACCGCGUGGGUCCCCCUUUGGCUUGUUCGGAGGGGGGCUUACGUUUUCACACAAACUUUGUAUGCAGUGUAGAAUGUAUUUUUUGUUUUUGCGAUCACGCAAUCAAUACAACUUUCAACAACGGAUCUCUUGGCUCUC
rnacentral:misc_RNA from 1 species